rnacentral:rRNA from 1 species
UCUUGGCCAGCCUUCUGAAAGGAAGAUUAAUCCAGGAUGGCAUCAUGAGUUCACAUGUCCGCAUGAUUAAAGGUAUUUUCCGGUAGACGAUGGGGAUGCGUUCCAUUAGAUAGUAGGCGGGGUAACGGCCCACCUAGUCAACGAUGGAUAGGGGUUCUGAGAGGAAGGUCCCCCACAUUGGAACUGAGACACGGUCCAAACUCCUACGGGAGGCAGCAGUGAGGAAUAUUGGUCAAUGGGCGAUGGCCUGAACCAGCCAAGUAGCGUGAAGGAUGACUGCCCUAUGGGUUGUAAACUUCUUUUAUAAAGGAAUAAAGUCGGGUAUGCAUACCCGUUUGCAUGUACUUUAUGAAUAAGGAUCGGCUAACUCCGUGCCAGCAGCCGCGGUAAUACGGAGGAUCCGAGCGUUAUCCGGAUUUAUUGGGUUUAAAGGGAGCGUAGAUGGAUGUUUAAGUCAGUUGUGAAAGUUUGCGGCUCAACCGUAAAAUUGCAGUUGAUACUGGAUGUCUUGAGUGCAGUUGAGGCAGGCGGAAUUCGUGGUGUAGCGGUGAAAUGCUUAGAUAUCACGAAGAACUCCGAUUGCGAAGGCAGCCUGCUAAGCUGCAACUGACAUUGAGGCUCGAAAGUGUGGGUAUCAAACAGGAUUAGAUACCCUGGUAGUCCACACGGUAAACGAUGAAUACUCGCUGUUUGCGAUAUACGGCAAGCGGCCAAGCGAAAGCGUUAAGUAUUCCACCUGGGGAGUACGCCGGCAACGGUGAAACUCAAAGGAAUUGACGGGGGCCCGCACAAGCGGAGGAACAUGUGGUUUAAUUCGAUGAUACGCGAGGAACCUUACCCGGGCUUAAAUUGCACUCGAAUGAUCCGGAAACGGUUCAGCUAGCAAUAGCGAGUGUGAAGGUGCUGCAUGGUUGUCGUCAGCUCGUGCCGUGAGGUGUCGGCUUAAGUGCCAUAACGAGCGCAACCCUUGUUGUCAGUUACUAACAGGUGAUGCUGA